GCAACUGUUUGUAAAGCUCCAUCUAAAAUUGGAACGAUACAGAGAUUAGCAUGGCCCCUGGGCAAGGAUGACUCGCAAAUUCGUGAAGCGUUCCAUAUUUUA